ensembl:misc_RNA Metazoa_SRP Metazoan signal recognition particle RNA
GACAAGGUCUUUAGUCCCAGCUACUCAGGAGGCUGAGACAGGAGAAUCCCUUGAGUCCAGGAGUUCUGGACGAUAGUGCGCUAUGCCCAUCAAGUGUCCACAGUAAGUUCGGCAACAAUAUGGUGACCUCCUGGAAGCAGGGGUCCACCAGGUUGCCUAAGGAGGGGUGAACUGGCCCAGGUCAGAAAUGGAGUAGGUCAAAGCUCCUGUGCUGAUCAGUAGUGGAAUUGUGCCUCUGAAUAGCCACUGCACUCCAGCCUAGGCAACAUAGUGAGACCCCAUCU